ACCUGGCUGCCUCAGUAGGAAGAGGAUGCAACUCUUAAUCUCAGGGUCAUGAGUUCAAGCCCCAUGUUGGGUG
rnacentral:tRNA from 1 species